CCUACGUGAGGCAGCAGUGGGGAAUAUUGCACAAUGGGGGAAACCCUGAUGCAGCGACACCGCGUGAGUGAAGAAGUAUUUCGGUAUGUAAAGCUCUAUCAGCAGGGAAGAAAAAAGACGGUACCUGACUAAGAAGCCCCGGCUAACUACGUGCCAGCAGCCGCGGUAAUACGUAGGGGGCAAGCGUUAUCCGGAUUUACUGGGUGUAAAGGGAGCGUAGACGGCGCGGCAAGUCUGAAGUGAAAGGCAGGGUCUUAACCCCUGAACUGCUUUGGAAACUGCCAUGCUAGAGUGCUGGAGAGGUAAGUGGAAUUCCUAGUGUAGCGGUGAAAUGCGUAGAUAUUAGGAGGAACACCAGUGGCGAAGGCGGCUUACUGGACAGUAACUGACGUUGAGGCUCGAAAGCGUGGGGAGCAAACAGGAUUAGAUACCCCAGUAGUC
rnacentral:rRNA from 1 species